GACGAACGCUGGCGGCGUGCUUAACACAUGCAAGUCGAACGGAAAGGCCCUGCUUGCAGGGUACUCGAGUGGCGAACGGGUGAGUAACACGUGGGUGAUCUGCCUGCACUUCGGGAUAAGCUUGGGAAACUGGGUCUAAUACCGGAUAGGAACCACCUUUAGUGUGGUGGUUGGAAAGUUUUUUCGGUGUAGGAUGAGCUCGCGGCCUAUCAGCUUGUUGGUGGGGUAAUGGCCUACCAAGGCGGCGACGGGUAGCCGGCCUGAGAGGGUGUACGGCCACAUUGGGACUGAGAUACGGCCCAGACUCCUACGGGAGGCAGCAGUGGGGAAUAUUGCACAAUGGGCGCAAGCCUGAUGCAGCGACGCCGCGUGGGGGAUGAAGGCCUUCGGGUUGUAAACUCCUUUCGCUAGGGACGAAGCUUUGUUGUGACGGUACCUAGAUAAGAAGCACCGGCUAACUACGUG
rnacentral:rRNA from 1 species